UUGAAGUGGCUGGGGCUACUGGACACUCCUCUGUGGAGGUCUGGGAUCCAACCACAGCGUUUGGUUUUGACUUGCUUCUUCAAACUGCAUCCAAGGUCAGUGGGGCUCCCCGAGUAGUGGGAAUCUGUUUCUGUGACUUAUUUAAAGAUGGUCAGUCUCCAGGGGGCUGCUGGCCUGUCUGGUUGGGUGUUUGUGUGUUAUAAAUAGCCAGGGUUGUGUUGGACUCCUACUCUCCACACCAUCAAUGUGGGUGUUUAUAUGGCCUCCCUCGUGCUGUCACAUGUGCCCGUCUGCGUCAGGAGGACAAGAAGCCUGAGACCAGGCACUACUGUGGGAAGUGGCUGAGCCCUGGGAGACCUCACGCUUCCCAAAAGGGACAGGUCCUUUCUAGCUUUAUGAUGAGCUUGCCCCUUGUUUCAUUCUCUUUAACUGUCUCUAGUCUCUUAAUUCUCCUCACCUCAAGAGUCCCGAUUGUCUAUAUUAGCUGCUUCGCCGAUGAGGAAUCAGUGGCCCAGAGAAGUGACUCGUCUUGCAGCACUGGAGCUAGGACUCAGGUGUCUUGACCAUCAGGCCAGCUAUCUUCCUGCUACAAAUAAUGCCCUGCAGAGAAACUGCUCUCCUGUGACAGCUUCUUUUAAAGGACAAUCCACCUGGAUGGGGUGAUGCUUUCAUUUUCUGCUUUUGGACAUCAUCUUCUUCAAGAGUGACAGUCUGACACCGGCAUGAGUGUUGUGGGACAGUUUCCAUGAGAACGCAACAAGAGACAAGCUGGUGUCCUUGAAGCUUUGGAUAAGUCAGGACUAGGCUCCCACAUGGCCUUCACAGGGACUUGUGGGAACAGAGGGACCAUGGGUUCCCAGAUCCAAUAACCAAAAAAAAAAAAAAAAAAAAAAAAA